rnacentral:antisense_RNA from 1 species
AGCUGUCCAAUGGCUCAUGGAGCCAGAGAGAUGGCACCCCAGCAUGCUGUAGUCUAGCCUCUCCCACUGACCACCUGAGCCUGCUGAAGCUGGCUUAUAUAAGGCUUUGGAAAGAGAAAGGGCUUUGGGUUACUCUCUGGAAAUCAAGAAAAACUGUUCCAAGAUGUGUGUUGGAGAAGACCAGCUUCCGCAGCAAUGAACCCAGAAAAAAAUCUAUAUGUGUAUUUCUAGCACAGGGGCUGGCACAUACUGAGUGCUGAACUGAAUUGAACAGAUGCUAUAAGCAAGGAAGAGUCAAAUUUUGCAAGAUUUUACUGAGGAGGAAGGUGCUACCUCAAAGCCAGCAAAAGAAGAGUUUCUAGAGAAAGGAGAGGAUUGAUGGGUUCACUGGUGCUCACUGGAAACUAUCAAAUUUGUAAUGUGAGCAUCCCAACAUGCAGAGGAACCAGAAGUUCAAUAUUUGAGCUGAUUAAGGAUCAAUCAGCCAGUUCCCUGGGCAGGGGAGAGACUUCCACGUUAUCAGGGAC